rnacentral:snRNA from 12 species
AGCUUUGUGCAGUGGCAGUAUGGUAGCCAAUGAGGUUUAUCUGAGGCGCAAUUAUUGCUAAUUGAAAAUUAUUGGUAGGACAAGCAGCAAAAAUGUUAAUAAAGACCCACUUGAUCUGAACAAUGCAUUUCACAGUAUAGAUAUAUUAGAUACUCGUAGAAACCU